GUCAUUAUCGUUCAGAGAUUACUAGAAUGAGAGACUGUAAAAUGAGACUUGAUGGCUUAAAAUCAGAAGCUAAAAACUUUAAUUUCUAUUAUUUUACAUAUUUCUAUUUAACACAUUUCUAUUAUGGGUUUGGACUGGAUUGAAUAUAAAUAAAUUGACUACUAUUUUGAACCCAGAGAAGACAACUGGAACAUACAACCAAUGGAUUUUGGAGGGUCAAACUUGCUGCAAAUUUGCUCAAGGCCCGUCUGUAGAGAAACACAUUCUCUUGACAGAAGAAGCUGUGGCUGAUGAGCUGUUAUCUAGUCAAGCUCAGAUUUCCAUCCAAUGUAAAGAGAACUCUGAGGGUCAAGACGGAAUGGUGCUGUUUGACACGGAAGCCUUUCCUUUGGUCAACAUCCACUGUCAUACCAGUGCAGAAGAUCUUCCUGAAGGUCAAUGUAAACAGCAGUAGAUCUCUGCAGAUCUCCUCAUCGGUUAUUUGGGGAUUUUAGCAUCAAAAAUGCUAUUGUAACUAAAGAGCCUAUGCAUACUAUUUUGGAUUAACCAUUACAGAAACAUACAAAAAAAUAUUUUGGUAAUCAUUAAUACUGUGGCACAAACCUUACACUUGGUGCUGGUCUAAUAAAUUUGUCAAGUGUCCCUAAUGUGUUGUUGUGUCUCUAAUAAGAUUGGUCACAAACAUGAUCCCUGAAUAAUCUAAUCUGUUACGUUUUAUUACGUCACUGUCAUCCAUUGUCUGUAACACCUUUCUUCUCCCUCGUCAUCUUUCAGCCAUUUCCUCCUAAAGAAACUUUUAAGCAUCUUAAACAUCUUCGGAAUUAUCCGCACAGCCAUUUGCCACAGUUUUUACACUGGAUGCCCUUUAUGCAAUCCAGCACUAAUUCAUGCAACCCAGUUGAAGCAACCAUAUAAAUAGUUUAAAUAAUGUUUGAUGUUUAACAAGUUGUCUACAUGACGCAAGGAGUGACUCAUUAAACAUGUAAGCAAAGUUGAGAAUAUUCAUUUUGAGUCAAUAAUGACAACAGCAGCAGUGUUGUUAUUGAAUAAAGUCACCUAUUCUGUGUCCUAAACUCCUGAAACUUUGGUGUUCACGCAGCUUACGAGCGAGCGCACGCUGUCACUGCUGAAUUGCCUGAGUCCCGAUCUUUGGAACCUACAUGUGUGGGUUUUGGACGGGUCACAGAAGGUUUAGGUACUUUGCCACCUCAGGUGGUAGCUACCAUCACUUCGGCUAGGGCCUUGUCUACAAGACACGCCUAUGCUUUGAAGUGGAAUCUCUUCGUCACUUGCUGUUCACUCACUCACUUCUUCACAUCGUGAAGAC